rnacentral:rRNA from 1 species
UCGAACGAUGAAGCCCAGCUUGCUGGGUGGAUUAGUGGCGAACGGGUGAGUAACACGUGAGUAACCUGCCCCUGACUCUGGGAUAAGCCCGGGAAACUGGGUCUAAUACCGGAUAUGACUUUUGACCGCAUGGUUGAGGGUGGAAAGAUUUAUCGGUUGGGGAUGGACUCGCGGCCUAUCAGCUUGUUGGUGAGGUAAUGGCUCACCAAGGCGACGACGGGUAGCCGGCCUGAGAGGGUGACCGGCCACACUGGGACUGAGACACGGCCCAGACUCCUACGGGAGGCAGCAGUGGGGAAUAUUGCACAAUGGGCGCAAGCCUGAUGCAGCGACGCCGCGUGAGGGAUGACGGCCUUCGGGUUGUAAACCUCUUUCAGUAGGGAAGAAGCGAAAGUGACGGUACCUGCAGAAGAAGCGCCGGCUAACUACGUGCCAGCAG